CCAACGAAAGGCGUUGUUUUCCUUGUUUGUUUACCUUGUCUGCCUAAAGAGCUCUCUGGGUGGGGGGCACCUGUACCUGAGACGCAAUAAUCUUUGGGCCCUUUCCUUCCCGGGUGGCACUUUCGGAAAUUUACUUUAUUCAAACUAGUAGUAGAAAAAAAAAAUUGGUUCUCUUUCAGGGGGCACAAUGGGAAGUCUGCGUCUGACUCUGCCGUUUACUCAGGCGAGGAGGCACGAAAUGAAACAGACUCACUCGGAUGAUAUGGGCCGCCUCUUCGUCGUAUGAGUCCCGUCCAUAAUGGCUCGUCUCUCCGUCACGUGGUUUACGCCGACACUUGGCCGCGCUUUGAAAAUCCGACCCGUGAAUACCUGGGUUGAUCUGGCCAGCGUCCUCCGACGCGGGAUUCAAGCGUGGUGUGCCACCGAAUGGCUGCGGCUGCUCUAAUAGUGUAUCGCUUUUAUAGUGGUUUUAAAUGACGACAGUGUGUUUCUGGUGUAAUAUUGUUUCGUGUAUUAUCGCUCUUGUGCACUAUUUCUUUUGCAAUACGUUAGCACAUAAGGAAUUAUCUUGGCAAUUAAAUAAUAAAGACAGCCCGUCAUGAACAAAUGUA